rnacentral:rRNA from 1 species
AAUCAACGCUGGCGGCGUGCCUAACACAUGCAAGUCGAACGAGAAAGUGGAGCAAUCCAUGAGUAGAGUGGCGUACGGGUGAGUAACACGUGACUAACCUUCCUUCGAGUGGGGAAUAACCUCGGGAAACCAGGGCUAAUACCGCAUAACAUCACCGGGUGAAACUCCCGAUGAUCAAAGGGGUAAGACGCUUGAAGAGGGGGUCGCGGCUGAUUAGUUAGUUGGCGGGGUAAUGGCCCACCAAGACGAUGAUCAGUAGCCGGCCUGAGA